CUGAUCGAUUGUAUUUCGAGGCUGUGCGAAACGAUCGUUACCCCUCGCCGUAGAAUGUUUUGGUGGAGCGCAGGAGAACGUGCACAUGCUGUGGACGGCAGGCGUCGCGCGUCUCUGUGUGCUUGAGGGAGAUGUUAUAACGAUGGUGGUGGGCGGCGCUGGCCGCGCCAUUCUUGCUAACAGAGUUUUGUGUGCUGAUGCGAUUCCAUUGGUAGGAUAACGCGAUGGAGGUGCCGCGAUGGGAGGGAUGCUUCGACGACACAGGAACUACUGUUCCUGAGGCUGGGCAUGGUGACAUGAAGGCUGUCCUGAGAUGACGCAUCUAGCAGGGUUCCAGGUGCAGUGGGUUCAGCAUAGAGUUCGAAGCGCAUCCAUCACUUUGACAGAAGUGACUAGCCUGGCGUCAAUACGGGACUCGGGACAUGCGUCGUCUUGAGUGGCGAGGUGUCAUGUGGAGCAGAGACACAGCACGACUAAUGCUGUCGAGGCCGAGUAUGUGCGAGGGAUACGGCCGCCUCAAGAUUUGAUCCCCUGUACUCAGGUGUUUUGAUUUCCAUGAACGCAGAUAGAUAUUAGAUUGUCGUCGUUCCCAUGGUCUGUGACUGGCCACAUAUCGUGGGAAGGGACACAUAUGCCGGACGCUAUCAGAGGAGCAGGCAGCGUGGGUGUCUAGGGUGUCAAAGCGCACGGUCGAGUGGAGGUAUGUCGCUGGUGGAUCUGUGUCGUCGCGGCUCAUGUGCGACGGGUGUCGGCGUAUGUGGGUCGGAGUUUUGGAAUUGUGCACGAUUUGUGGGACUGAUGACAUGGUGUAAUGUAAUUCGCCACGCUGUGUCGUGGACUCCGCCUCAUUUGGUGGACGUUGCAAUCCAGGAAGAGGAAGUAGGGACAGUUUUCUGUCGGAUUUUGUGAGUGGCCUGUGAAGGCGGUGACCAGGAUAUGCUGACUGUGUGCACUAGGGCCGCAUCGUGUCCGGCUGCUGGUUUCGUUGUCCACAGGACAUUGGCGAUGUGCACUUCCUGGUGCCCGUUGAUCGGAAAGCACUACAUCGGGAGCACUGUUGGUUGCUGAUAAAGGGGACGUCGGGGCGAUUGUCCCAGUUUUUCUCCGGUGAUCGACUCGGUCGAUACGAUGUGAUAAGAAGGUGCAGGUAACACAGGCGGUUUGAUUGGGUCUGUGCGGGCGUAGCGAGCGAGACUGCGUGGUUCAAGAGACAUGUUGUGUGCCAUGCUGUGUAGUGUCGAAGAGUGAGACAGUGCCUGUGAGGGAGUUGAGGUUCAAUUGGCUCUAGAGGUGGUGUGUGUUCCACGGAGCAGAUGCGGGAUUCACAUCGAUAUUGUCGCAGCGUAGAUGGGGGGAUCUCGAGGAACAUGGGACGCACUACAGCGGGCUACGUUUGCAUAGUGUACUUUCUUGUCCGGGGAGAGUGUGGCACUUUUGCGGACAUCACAUUGCCUAGGCGAUGUGUGUCGACAAAUGUGAGCCGCUUGGUACCGUGGGAAGCCUUUAUUUUCGGCUCGCGGCUAUAAACGCGAAUACUUCAUCUCGUGGACUGGACGAGUGGUGGUUUGCGGGUGCUGAUUAGGCGCGAAUAGUAGGACGAUAUCCGAGACCGGCAGCUCAGAGGCUUCAUGAUGUUGAAGUCNUUGGCUCUAGAGGUGGUGUGUGUUCCACGGAGCAGAUGCGGGAUUCACAUCGAUAUUGUCGCAGCGUAGAUGGGGGGAUCUCGAGGAACAUGGGACGCAGCAUAGGUGGCGACGUUUCCAGGCUGCACUAUUUUCUGGGAGCGGUUUUACGGUGUUCUUGAGAUGUUACGUCUUCGAUUUUACGACAGACGUGUUGUGCGGGUUAGCUCCCGGCGUCGGGAGUAGAUUGC
rnacentral:lncRNA from 1 species